AGGAGAAGGCGGACGCCAUGGGUGCGGCUACAGACGAGGCGGAGGAGAAGGCGGACGCCGUGGGCUUGCUGCAUGGCUACAGCCGAGGCGGAGGAGAAGGUGGACGCCGUGGGCGUUCAUGGAGGAUGGUACGCCGGCCGCCGGCGCCGGCCGCCAGUCCUCUCUGGCCUCCUCCGUGGUAUCCUUCUCAACCUCCGCUGCUCCUGUCGUGAUUUGGAUGGAAAAUUGGAGGCCGGCCGUGUCCUUCUCCAACACAAAUUGAUGUAGUGCCCGACCCGGAUUUGAUUGGCUGCUAUAAGAAGCAAGGGUCCUCGGCCGGAAUCUCCAUCUGGUUUUGCCUUUCGACCAUAAUCUCCAUCAUCCCGUCGAAAUUGCAAUUUUUGACCAAACAUCCAAUGUCGCCGCCAAGUUCGCUGGAGGAAGAAGCGCCGAGUUCGCCGGAGGAACAAGAACGCCCGCCGAGUCCUGUGGUGGCUACACGAGAGGUAUGUAUCCCCUCUAAGCUACGCCACGGCGCGUUAGAGCCUGAAGUUCGUCAAAACUUGACCUGACCGUCACUGACGCCACCUUGCUGCCGCUGUUGCUGGAGAUGAGCUGAAUAGCAAGCUUUGGCCCUUAAGAUGAGUAAUGAACAUCCGUUGAGCCGUCCAAUGUUGCCUGUGGCAACUACACCGGAGCCAUCGUCUCCUUUGACUUCACCGCCAUCGUCUCCAUCGACUUCGCCGCAAGACAAUCUGCCACCGCCUCCGCCGAUUUUGCCGGAAGACCAUCAGCCGUCGCCUAGACCUACUUUGAGAAAAUAGAUGACAGCACUGUAACUUAAUAUUACACAGAACAUUGAAGAGGACUUUGAUAACCGACCUUCAAAAAAAGAAAAAAAUUCUGAAUCAAGUGUUCUGGAGCCAUCACCUAUGUCACCAACUAUGUCAACAUGUACUCCAGUUUCUGAGUGUUUUGAAUCGAUUGUGCCAAAAUCAGAUAAUCAGAUAGAUUGUGGUCCAUUGCCAUCACCUCCAUCCCCAUCUAGCUCGACAUUAUCAAGAACAUCGGUCGAGCCGUACAAUGGCGCCUGCAGCGGUUACACCAGAGGUAUUUAUCCCCUUGAUGAAAGCUAAUCACUGGAUGUAAUCCCCUGUUUUAGUUGUUGUUUCUGUCCUGGUUAUACAGGCAGUUUUCAACAGCAGCAGACUAGCAUGCCCAGUCUGAACUUUUAGAAUGUUUUCCCAGUUCAUGUUCAACUUUGAUCCUUUUUCCAGUUAAAGUUCCAAGCAACUUUCCUCUGUGAAUCUGAGAAUCUCACUGAAAUUUGUGUUUCAUUGUGUA